rnacentral:rRNA from 1 species
UACGGGGGGGGCAAGCGUUGUUCGGAAUUACUGGGCGUAAAGGGCUCGUAGGCGGCCAACUAAGUCAGACGUGAAAUCCCUCGGCUUAACCGGGGAACUGCAUCUGAUACUGGAUGGCUUGAAUUCGGGAGAGGGAUGCAGAAUUCCAGGUGUAGCGGUGAAAUGCGUAGAUAUCUGGAGGAAUACCGGUGGCGAAGGCGGCAUCCUGGACCGACAUUGACGCUGAUGAGCGAAAGCCAGGGGAGCAAACGGG